UUGAUAUUUGUAUUAUGUGGUUGACACCUCAAGAUAUAUAAUUGAUAACUUCAAUCUUGAAUCCCUAUAAACUUUACAGGCGGAAAAAAAAAAAGGAUAAAAUGAAAAAAGAAAGUUAUCAAGAUCAUACACAUCCAUCCAUAUUCAAAGUUUAAUCAUUCCUACCACUGAAAGGACGAGAAAAAGAAAGGAAAAAAUUACAAAAAGCAGAUAUUAUUUAAUUGUUCACCAAGGUCUAGCAUUCUCAGAUGAAGUCAGAAGCUCCUCCAAGUAAUCAGCACCUAAAUCUUCCAAAACCACCACAUUUUCUAUCCUACCAUCCCUUUCUCUCUUGCUUCUGUUCAUCAUUUUCCUUCUCAUGGAGUGCUUCCUCUUAAGAGCUACUACAGGUGAGCACCCCUCUUCUUGACUACACUUGAUGUCCUUGAGUGAUUCCCUCACUCUUUCAACCGGGAAAUUGAGUAUAGCCCCAGCUCCUCUCAUUGAAAAAGCAGCUUG
rnacentral:misc_RNA from 1 species